UACGGGGGGGGCAAGCGUUGUUCGGAAUUACUGGGCGUAAAGGGCUCGUAGGCGGCCAACUAAGUCGGAUGUGAAAUCCCCAGGCUCAACCUGGGAACUGCAUCCGAUACUGGAUGGCUUGAAUUCGGGAGAGGGAUGCAGAAUUCCAGGUGUAGCGGUGAAAUGCGUAGAUAUUGGGAGGAACACCAGUGGCGAAGGCGGCUCACUGGACCGGUACUGACGCUGAUGCGCGAAAGCGUGGGGAGCAAACGGG
rnacentral:rRNA from 1 species